rnacentral:lncRNA from 1 species
CAGCCAAUCCGGUCGCACGGAAGGCUCAGCGCCGGUCACGUGGUGAGACCAGCCAAUCACCAAAUUGCCCUCGGCAGCGCCCGCUCCGAUGUCUCUGGGGGUUCGGUUGCUACCUAGCAGAGCGGGUGCGAGGCGGGCACAAAGGGUCUCUGUUUUCGGGGGCUAAGUGGCACUCAGUUGAUCAAUUACCAGAUCAAUUGACUUCUCAAAUUCUAAUAUAAAUAAGAAUCACUUGACUCUCUUGUUAAAAUGCGGAUUCUGAUCCAGAAGGUCUGGGGUGGAGACCUGAGAUCCUGCAUUUCUAAUAAGCUCCCAGGUGGCGAUGACGAAGCUCUUGGUCGGAGGAUCACGCUUUGAAUUGCACCUGUCCGAAAGUAAUGGCUGUAGCCCCAGCUCCACGUAAUUUGAAACUUGCACGACCUUUCUUGUCCUUCUUCCACUGAUGAGAAGCGUUCCUGUGGCUACAUGGGGUGUCCCGGUGAUGCUUACAGUUUGGGCACCAGCUGAGGGAAGGUGUGUUUAAUCCCCACAUUACCCACCCUUGGUCUAUGGAGCAGCAAUCAUGCCAACUUGGUGACUGGAGUGUGGAACCAGAAGUGGAGACGGAAUGGCCAUGGAAGAGAACACUGUGUCUACGUUAAUCCUAAAGGGUUGGGCGUGUGUGUCUGAGUGGCGCGGUGCCAGACACUUGGCCAGAGAAGUGGUAUAAGUGGUCCCUGCUUCUCAAAACGUAACAAUUUGUUGUAGAACUAUACAGGCUAGUUCAGAAAGAAGCAUGUGGAGAAAACAUCCGGGAAGCUAACAGUCACAGCACAAAUUCAGGCAUAAGCUAAAGAGGUUGUAAAAUAAUAUGCCUUGAGGGUCUUAAAAACUGUCCAAAUAUUCUUCUGUCAGUAAUUCCAGAGUCUAGAAGUUAGGACUCCCACUGGCCCUGUCAUUUCUCAAAUUUGACCUAAGGACUCAGUGUUUUCGGACUGGCCAGCUAGAACCUUUGUCGUUCAGCGUAGCCAAGCUCUUAUUACCCAGUAGUGUACCGCCGUGGUUCAAGAUUCUUAAGUGCUGAAUUCUCCAAAACCUUCAUCUCUCAUCUCUUGAAACCAGGUGGUAUAACCCUGCUUCAGCAUUUCUCUCUCACUAUCAAGGUGAUCAAACUGUCGCUUAGAGAAAACUUCACCUUUGUCAGUGUGUCCUGAACUUCUCUGGCUUCUCAUCCCCAGAAGUGAAGCCCACCUAGCAAUCUCAGACAUUGUUCAUCACAUUGUCCCUAUCAGAGAUGGCAUCGCACAAAAUUCAGAGUUUCUGGGAACAUGUUAAACCUGUCACAGCAAUGGUUCUGGCUACAGCAGGAGUAAAGAAAUGUCUAAGCAAGAAAAAUGUUUUGAAAGCCUCAAAAAAAGUUUGUUUGCUGUCAUUAAACCAGUGGUUCUCAAGCCUAGCUGGAUGUGGCAGAGGUGAGUAGGUGCAACAAUGACCAAGCAAAAUUCAUCUUAUUGAGCUUCACCAAAUUCUGAGAGCUGCCCCUGAAGACAGAGUCCUACGUCAAAAAACAUCAGCAUCAGAAAAGCAGUAAGUGCAAAAGAAAAUGAAUUUUAUUUGAGACUUCUAAUUCAUAUCAGAGGAAUAUGCAGACAAAGAGAUGGCUAUCAUAUGUGGAACAACAGUUAGAAGGCUGAAAUUCCUAAAAUUAGUGUAAGUUGCUGGUGACGCACGCCUCGUGAGGCCCCAGACUGCUGACCCGCAUGUGCCUCUGUGUCAUUUCUCCUUAGCAUCGUCCUUUGGCAGGUCGAAGAUUUCACCGACCAGAACCCAACAGACUUCUGCCUGGAAGGAGUUUUAAGACCCUUAGUUGCUAAAUCUACUACAUAGCCUGAAAACCACAUUGCCUCCUCCAUAGUGCCUCCUCCAUAGUACCUCCAUAAAUGGAAUGAUGGCACAACUUAAGAUCCAGUCUAAAAACUUUGCAAUCCAGAGAGGAUGAUGAAGUAACAUAGGCUGCUAGCAACAUUCUCCAGGUCUGUUCCUGUAAGACCUACAAUAAAAGG